UACGGGGGGGGCAAGCGUUGUUCGGAAUUACUGGGCGUAAAGGGCUCGUAGGCGGCCAACUAAGUCAAACGUGAAAUCCCUGGGCUUAACCUGGGAACUGCAGUCGAUACUGGUGAACUAGAAUGCGGUAGAGGGUGGCGGAACUCCGGGUGUAGCGGUGAAAUGCGUAGAUAUCCGGAAGAACACCGAUGGCGAAGGCAACCACCUGGGCCUGCAUUGACGCUGAGG
rnacentral:rRNA from 1 species